AACGGUUUUGGUUUACUAAACUUUUUAAUUUAACAACAUGAUCUCCUGGGAAUAUAUCCAUCAGCAAAACUGAAUUUUACAAAGUUAAUGGUAAUUUCAAAUAGUAUUAACUUUCUUCCCCCAAACCUCUAGGUCAAUCCCUGCAGAAGAAAGGAAUUAUAUUGUAUUUUUUCCCUGAACAAAUACUUUAUAAGCUAUGAAAAUGUUUCAGUCUUCUUAAUUUUGUUUUUGAGUUAAAUUAUUAUUAAAAGUAACAACAGUGAACCUAAUAAUUUUACAGAUUAACACCUAAUUAUUGUUGUUAUUGCUCGUAUUUUUAACAUGUAGGAGGAAAAGUUUCCUAAAUCUCAGUGGUAAGUAAAUUUGGGUCGCAUUUAAAUAUAGCUAGACUAUUCCUAAUCUCUGAAAUGAGGAGGUUGUAAAAACAGAAAUAGGUAAGGAAAAAAACAGCUGCUAAGGUUAUAGAGAAAACAAAAACUGACAAAGAGUUGCUGCUGAGAGUCUGAACAAUAAUUAGAAUUUUUGAUUCUAUGAGUAUUUAACAUAAAAUAAUUCUAUUAUAAUUUUGUGUUAAUUUAGAAAAAUUUAAAUUCCUAACAAAAUAUAUAGAACACUAAAAAGAAGUUAAAACUAACAUUAAACAUAAACAAUGACUUCAAACAUUAAAUCUCCCUCCACGAUUCUGUUCUUGUGCCCAUGCAACAUUACCACCUUUUCUAGAGGCAGAGAAAUAAUCUUAGACAAAGGAAAAACAACAAAACAAAACUUACUCACUUCUAUUUUUUUACAAACCAUGCAAGAAGACAAAAAAGUCCUUUAACCUACAAUGAAUGAUUGUGAUAAGAAAAUUCUACUAUUAUAAGCACUUGGACAAGAUAUUCCAACAAGUAUGUUUUGACUGGGUUGACAGAACAUGUUUACAGAGAUAACCAGGGCUUAAUAUGAUUCAGCAAAACUGUUUAAAUAGCUAGAAUAGUUAAUUAGGACACAGCUACAGCCACUUGAAAAAGAGAAGCCCCAAAGUAAGAAGGAAGUUUAUAGAAAAGAACAAAAAAUGAUACUCCUGUACUCAGUAGAGGAUCAGGGAAGAGGAGGACCCUCAAGGAGAUAGACUGACAAAGUGAUUGCAACAAUGGGCUCAAAGACAGCAACGAUUGUGAGGAUGGCGCAAGACUGCGUAGUGUUUCGUUCUGUUGUGCACAGGGUCACUACGAGUCAGAACUGACUCGACGGCACCUAACGACAACAAUAUACUCAGCCCAGAUUUAUCAGAUGUUAAAAUUUCACCUUGUUUCAUCUCUUUUUUAUAAAUGUUAAUUAUAAACUCAGCUAAAGCCCUAUCUACCCACAUUUUCCUCUUCUUUUCAUCCUCAGAGGUACCCCCAAUAUGAUUUUCUACUUUUAUUACAUAAAACAUAUAAUAUUGUUCUGUUGUAAAAUUUUACAAAAUUUUUACCAAACUGUCCACAUCAUUUUGCAACUUGUUUUUUUUUUGUUACCACAUUUAUGAAACUUAUUUAUGUUGAUAACAUGAAAAUCUAACUCUUACACUUUGACUGCUGUAUGAUGUCUCAGUGUAUAAAUAAAUCUGUUUAAUUAUCUAGUUAGGAUACAGUGCCAUACUGUUUCACUUUUUCACUAUUACAAAUGUAAUGAUCACCCUGUACAUGUACACCAUUCUCUGGUGUUGAUACCUAGAAACAUCAACCACAGAGCCAUAGGGAAUGUACAUUUUUUAAAUUACUAGGUAUUAUGUAAUUGCUCUUCAAAGUGACUGUACUACUUUGCCACUAGAGAUGUAUAAAGGAGUUCUCAUUUCCCUACAUAAAUAUUUGGUGAUAUCAGACUUUCACUUUUUUGUCAAUUUGAUAGGUGCCAAACGUGUCUUGAUGUUUGUUACCUGAUAUUCCAUAGGUUCAUCAGUAAAAUUACUGAUAAAAAAUUUUAUAUGUAUAACUCAGUGCUGAUAUUGUAUUUUAAUAAUGUUUACAUAUUUUAAUUGUCAUUUUCAACUUGCAGUAACUCAAAAUAUUUAAAAAUUGAGUUUUUAUGUCUGGAAAUAUAAUUUCUCUCUCUUAAGCAAUGUUCUAGUUUCAUCAUCAGGUAUGACAACAACAGCUGUUAAAAGGGGCUUAGCCUCUUCAUCUUGAAAUUAUUUAAUUUUGGGGAUUCUAUUAAUCAAAAACAAAGAACUUCAGAGUUUUAUGCUAUAAAAGUACCUGGUGCUAUGGCAAAAGGUAAUAUUAAAGGUAUUAUAAUGACUUAUAAUUUUGUCUUCCCACAUACACCUUGAUGAAAUUCAUGGUUCCAACCUUUGCUCACCCAAAGCUCUUUGUACAUCACUUGUUUUACUCAGCCUGAUGUUUACUGCUCCUUAACUAAGUUCAGUUCUUUUAAAGCAGGGAUUACAGCACUCUAAUACUUUUAAGUAAAUGUUUUACUGAAGUAUUACACACACAUACACAUAUAUAUGAAAGUGAACAUAUUAUAACCGUAGAGUGUGAUGAAUUUUCCCAAAGGGAACACAUCUGUUCAAGGUACAAAACAUUACAAACACAACAGAAGUCCCUCUUCAUGUCCUCUUCUAGUGCUACCCAUUUAAGGGUAAAACACUAUCCUGACUUCUAACAACAAAGAUUUGAACUUUAUAUAAAUAAAAUCAAACAAUAUGUAUUCUUUUGCCUCUAGCUUCUUUCACUACACAUUAUAUUUAUGCAAUUCAUACAUGUUGCUAAAUACAGCUAUAGUUCUUAUGUUUUCAUUGACGUACAGUAUUUCAUUGUAUGACUAUGCCACCAUUUAUAUAGGUAUGUACCCAACUCAGACAUUUGCUCACCAAAAGACAUCAACAGUAAUGUUCAUAGCAGUACUAUUCAUGAUCAUUCCAAUACAGAAACUACCCAAGUGCCUAUCAAUAGCCGAACGGAUAAAAAGAAGUACUUAUAUCAAUUUAUAUCAAUAUAAGGAAAUUUUGCUCACAACAAGCAGUUGUUUUAAUUAUAGUACAAGUACUUGGAAUCCAGCAAUUGUAGUUAUAAAAAUGCUUUGUUAAAAAAAAAAAAACUGAAUUUAAUUACUACAAUAUGCUUUCUGAACUCAGUUCAAUACAAACUACAUUCAUUUCCACACUUCUGCUGUGUGUGUGAAAGCUAGGAUAUAUUUACAUGUAAAUAUUAAUAUAUGAAGUAAUUAAUAGAUCAUUUAAUCUACUCUGUAGUGGUAGCCAAAAUUCUCUGUCAUAUCCAUAUGUAGAUAGGUUGUUGGGGAAUAUCUUUUCUACAACAAAAAAGUAGCAAACAAUAUAAAGGUUACUUUGAAAUUUAACUCCUAACACUUUAUAUCAAGCUAUGAAAUAUAGUAGCUAUGUCUGUACAUAUGUGUAACAUUCAAUUGCAUUUAAAUGCACAAACAAUUAUUUCGUGUAUAACUAAUACAAAUACACUGUCACUGCCAUCUGAUCUUUUAUAUAUUCAUUAACUUAUCCUAUAUUUUUAGCUGUACUUUUAGCUUUCAAAUGCUUCCUAAUUGUAAAGGUUUUGUUACAUUUUAUUUACUAGAGCAUUAGGAGUUGAAAAGUAUCUAAGGGUCUCCUAUAUUUAAGUAGAGAACAGGAAACAGAAUUUAUGGUGUCUCUUUUGGAUAUGUACUCUUACAGUGUUUUAAAAGUAUACUUUUUUUUAAAAGAAACAAGUCAUUUACAUGAUAAAUUUAAGUUUUCACUUUAGGGACAUAUACUGAAUGAUAUUCAUUAAAUAUGCAAUUUAGUUAGUUCAAGAUUCCAUAAGAGUUGACUUGUCAUGGGGUUGUUAACCAUUGUCAUAGGGCAAUAUGUGUACUAACUGUUUAAUGAGAAACUAUUUGUUCCGUAAACCUUCAUCUAAGGUACAA